rnacentral:rRNA from 1 species
GCUAAAUGCGGAAGAGAUAAGUGCUGAAAGCAUCUAAGCACGAAACUUGCCCCGAGAUGAGUUCUCCCUGAGACUAUAAGUCUCCUGAAGGAACGUUGAAGACGACGACGUUGAUAGGCCGGGUGUGUAAGCGCAGCGAUGCGUUGAGCUAACCGGUACUAAUGAACCGUGAGGCUUAACCUUACAACGCCGAAG